UUGGAGGGCAAGUCUGGUGCCAGCAGCCGCGGUAAUUCCAGCUCCAAUAGCGUAUAUUAAAGUUGUUGCAGUUAAAAAGCUCGUAGUUGAAUUUCGGGAUCAAGGGAUCGGUCAUGCCUUGGUAUGUACUGGUCUUAUUGGUUCUCACCUUCUAAAGAACCAUGAUGUCAUUCAUUUGAUGUUAUGGGGAAUUAGGACUGUUACCUUGAAAAAAUUAGAGUGUUUAAAGCAAGCUUACGCUUGAAUACAUUAGCAUGGAAUAAUGAAAUAGGACAUCAGAUUCUAUUUUGUUGGUUUCUAGGAUCGAUGUAAUGAUUAAUAGGGAUAGUUGGGGGCAUUAGUAUUCAAUUGUCAGAGGUGAAAUUCUUGGAUUUAUUGAAGACUAACUACUGCGAAAGCAUUUGCCAAGGAUGUUUUCAUUAAUCAAGAACGAAAGUUAGGGGAUCGAAGACGGUCAGAUACCGUCGUAGUCUUAACCAUAAACUAUGCCGACUAGGAAUCAGACGAUGUUAAUUUUUUAAUGACUCGUUCGGCGCCUUACGGGAAAC
rnacentral:rRNA from 1 species